UUUCAUUCUGUUCUGUCUUAGCUAGUUACCUACAACUAUACCAAAUGGACUGGUUUAUCAUCUGCUUAUUUAAUAGAAUUAACACACUGCAUCAAUACAGGUACCUGCUGGUCACUAGUCAAAUAUAUAUUUUAUACUGUAGUAGCCAUAGAAUUAGGACUUUGAGUACUAGAAUGGACAUGGCCUGUUUUUUUAUGAUGGGAUGAAGGUCAGGUAUUUUGGUCAGGGAGUUGGUCAACCCUGGUUUACCAGUGAUGUAAUAAGAUAUUGUGUAAAAUAAUGCAUUUUAAGAAUUUAUCUGCACUCUUUGUUAGCUAGCUAGUCAGCCAGUUUCAGAGGAAUGAUUCCGGAACUUAAUUAAAUGAACUGACAAGAUGCCAACAUUCCAUUCAAAACAAUAUAGUGAGUCAAUAGGCAUUUUUCACCCCCCCCCCCAAAAGACCACUUCCUUCCACGCCAAGCAGUGUGUGACGAUACCCAGUUGUCUGUAGUCUUCUGCGAAAUUCAAACAUUGGAGUUUACCCAGUCACUGCUCAAUUUGCCCAAGUUUGGCGUUAGUGAUUUGGCUAUCGUUCACGAACAUUCCCAGGCGAAGAGAUCUGAACUUCAUAAAAAGGAUACAAGUUCUUCCACAAAGAAUAUCUUCAACAAUCAAGGUAAGUUAGUACUUGAAGUGACCAGUUGAGAUAGAUAGCUAGCUAACGAUAGCUAAGACGUUACCAAAUUGGUUAGUGCUAACACGAGUUGGCUAACGUUACUUAAGAUUUGUCAAACUUAGUUAAUGUUAAUAAGUUAGCUAGCUAUUUGGCCAGCCACUGUUAUCUAUUUGUUUCUCGCUAGCUAGAGCCAUCUCAGUAACGUUAAGAGUAGCAAUGGUAACUUACUCGCAAACAUCAAUUUAAUGUUGCUCUGUUCUUCUGAAUAUGCAUUGUGAAACAUGGUAGACCAGGAGGGGGCAGUGGUAGUAUGGGCAAGGUGUCACAUGAAUGAAGAGCUCAAGUCACUGCAGGUUACGAGAGACGAUAGGCAGUUUAAUUGCUUAGUGUUGCAGUGGUUACAGUUUACCUGUAAUUUUGUUCAGAAUAAUCAAACUCUGUAUCUGUUCACCGUAGGACAAGUUCCUUUGUUUCUGAUCUAAAGCUGGAUAACAAUGGCAUGUUCUAUAUUAAAGUUGGUCAGUUCUGUUUUUAAUGUGAGAAUUGAAGAGAAGCAAACAUGACCUUGCUGCUGCACGUUAUCAAAAACAUUGUAUGAUGACCCCCCUCCCCCUCCCCGCAUGUUAUUUUAGAUUACAUUGCAAGCACCCAAGAAGCCUGUCAUCGUAAAUGGCUUAUCUUGUUCAGCUGAGGGCGCUUUGUGCAAUAUGGUGGCUCAACUCUUCCAGACUGCACACUACACCACAAUGGGGCUGAAGACCGUGUCAGCACCAUUGCCUUGCACGGAGGUACUGCAGUUGUGGCAUGGGCCAAGGACUCGGAUGAGUUUUGAAUGACCCCUUCCUGACAUUACUGUGUCCUGCUGGACCAAGUUUGAGGAACAUGUGACCACAGCCUGCCAUUGCCAUGGUUACUGCAUGGACUCAAAGGAAAUUAUUCUGGUUGACUCUAGAUUUGGUCCAAUGCUCCAUGGGUCAGUGCUGUCAGUGUCCCCAAACUCUCACCAGAGAGAUUCUAGAACACCCAGAUAUGCUCCUGUAUUCCUCCAGCUCUCAGUAAAAUAAAAUACAUUGUACAGUAGUUCACUACUUGCACUCAGUUUUACCACUUGGAGAGCUUAAAGGUGUCACCAGCAUUGUCAUCUGCUAUUGAGAAGGGCACAGUCGAGCAGUCUUGUCUGUCCACUAUGGAAGGAAAUGAGGAAACCACGUGUGACUGCUAGCUGUUUUAGGGAGGCAUGCCACAUGCGUGGGGUAUCAUCUAGCGAGGCCCUAGCCAUGAGAAUGCUUAAAGGUGAACGGCAAACCGAAGCUAUGUGAAGGGGUCUUGAGCUUAAGCCGGAGGUUCUCCAGAACUACUCUGAAUGAGUCGAUGUCUCAGUCAAACAUUGUGGUUUCGUUGUGCAUCCAGAUGCACCCCAUCUCAGGGCAAACCAUGAUGGGAAAGUUUAUGGCCCUUCUGCAGCGCGGCCCUUCAGGCUAGCUGAGAUCAAGUGCCUGAUGUUGAGUGUAACUGAUGUGAAGCAGUUUGUCAAUGGCCAGGCCAAGCUCAAACAGUCACAAAUAUCACUAGCAAGUCCAGGGCCAACUGCCUGUAACCGGUUUAGAAGUGACAUUACAGUAGAGAGAGUUUGGAGAGAUGAUUCUUUAGUAGCAGAGAUGAGAGGAACCUGACUUCUUCUACACCUACAGGGAUGUUUAGAUAACUAAUCAAAAUUGUAUGUAGAGGAAUUUUAUUUUUAUUGAAUUGUUUUCUUUGUCUAUCCCGUGUGGUAGAGCAUGGGGCUCGUAAUGCCAGGGUCGUGGGUUCCAUUCCCACGGGGGAAGCAGUACACAAAAGUAUCAAUCUAUGCACUCACUACUGUAUGUCGCUCUGGAUAAGAGUGUCUGCUAAAUGACUUAAUGUAAAUGCAAUUAACAUUGAAUUAGAGUGAGUUACUGAUUUAAUUGUGAUUUAUUUUAUAACUUACAUGUCACAUAAUAAACGUAUUUAUUGAAUAAAAUCUUCAAGUGACGUUCUCUCUUUAUCAAACACUACAUCCCAAAACACUUAAUGAAACCUAUUUAUCAGUACAUAUUCAAUAUCAAAACGAUCCCAAAUUCAUAUCUUGUCUGUGACCAGAUCAAUUUAUAAUAAUAAAUAAAAAAUAAAAAAACAGAUGUACACAGGUUUAAAGCAGUUAUUUAUCAUGAUCUAAUUAAUUGAACUAAAAUCAUUAUUUUUGUGUGUGCACUGCCGUGCUUGAGCAUGUUUUCACACUGGCUGAUCACCGUUGAGAUCCAGAGGUCCCUGGUAGUUCACCAUUAAGCAGCAGUUCUUCCACAGUUGAUUUGACAGCCUACCAGAGUGAGUGGGAUAAUCUUGUCCGAGACAAGAUGCAGGUAGUUGGUCCAGGUUUAUUAUAAUGCGGCUCAUUUGAAGGCACACUCACGGCAAAGAUGUCCGCCAACACCUUCUCCAGCCCAGCUGCUACUCGACAGCAUUACAGAAAUAUCUUGUCCAUGAGUGGCAGCUUCCUGUUGGGGCUUGGUGUUGCGCUUCCCGUUCCAGUCUUCUGGGCCUUGGACCAGUAGAGUCAUCCUGGAGGUCAGAGGGGGAAAUGGACUCCCAGAACACCAUGAAGAUCUUGUCUGAGUGGAACUGGCUAUAGAACCUGAAGUCCUCAGUGGCUGCACAGCAUCUUUGGAGCUGGAAUGGUACAAAAAGCUGUUGGACUUGUAGCUCUUGUUCCUUGAGUCCACCUAAUGCAGCAUUCAAUACACCUAUUUUAUAUUGAACAACAAAAAAAAAAAAUAUAUAUAUAUAUAAGUGCAACAU